rnacentral:misc_RNA from 1 species
UAUAAAUUUGACGAGCAUGACCGUGACUCAGUCCAUUUAAGGUUGCAAUUUGCUCGCUACCCUGGUGCAAGGUCAGGUGGCGGGCAUCGUGGCAAACGUUAAAAUAAAUAAUGUGGCUGCGCAGGAUUUGCGCAAACCGGGGAGGUUAUGAUAAUUGGGAUGAUACAAUGGUGUUGCAGUUACAAGAAUUACACAAAUCUCUGAAUGGGCACUUUCUUUAGGACGAAAUUGAAUUUUGUGUUUUUCAGUAAUUAUAGGGC